rnacentral:rRNA from 1 species
UACGGAGGGUGCAAGCGUUAAUCGGAAUUACUGGGCGUAAAGCGUGCGUAGGCGGUUCGUUAAGUCUGUUGUGAAAGCCCCGGGCUCAACCUGGGAAUGGCAAUGGAUACUGGCGAGCUAGAGUGUGUCAGAGGAUGGUGGAAUUCCCGGUGUAGCGGUGAAAUGCGUAGAGAUCGGGGAGGAACAUCAGUGGCGAAGGCGGCCAUCUGGGGACAACACUGACGCUGAGGCACGAAAGCGUGGGGAGCAAACAGG